rnacentral:rRNA from 1 species
UACAGAGGUCCCAAGCGUUGUUCGGAUUCACUGGGCGUAAAGGGUGCGUAGGUGGCCAGGUAAGUUUGGUGUGAAAGCUCGGAGCUUAACUCCGAAAAGUCAUUGAAUACUAUCUGGCUGGAGGGUCGGAGGGGAGACUGGAAUUCUCGGUGUAGCAGUGAAAUGCGUAGAUAUCGAGAGGAACACCAGUGGCGAAGGCGAGUCUCUGGGCGACUCCUGACACUGAGGCACGAAAGCUAGGGGAGCAAACAGG